AAAAUACAUUUCUUGGUGAGAUGCUGCUCACCAAGACAAAAUAAACAUUGAGUGUCCAUCAUUGAAAGGAACAGCCACCUCACAUAAACCAUAUUUUAAAAUGAAGGAUUUUUGAACAGCCAUGAGGCUGAAGACCCAGUACCAGGAGAAGAAAAGUUUAAAAAAAAAAAGUCACACAACUAAAGCUUACAUAAAUAUUCCCACACUAAUUAACCCAAACUAAAGAUAACUAUACAAUUUCUCCUGAAGAAGCACAAGUACAACAGAUAGGCACUGCUCUCUCUGUUCCAUCUCGCAGCCACAGGUGUUAAGGAACUGAUGGUCAUUGGCCUUGUUCCACCUUUUAUGCCCUCAGCUUGGUGGGAUAGUGCAGGCGAGGCCCAAUGGACACUACUAGCCAGAACUCCAAUUUCAAGCGUAUGCACACCAGAAGUGGAAUACAUAUAGACAAGCACUCAAAGAAUGAAAAAAGCUUCCGCUGAAACGUUGCUGCAAUUCCAUAUUUUGCCCACCAGAGGGCACUGUGGCAAUAGGACAUAGCAGCAGCUCCGGGACAGCUAGGGAAGACAAAGAACCUGCCUUCUUCACAGCUUCUUCACAGCGCCUGUAAGAUCAGAAUUCCCUCAGGAGUACAAGGGUAUAUACAGCUGUGAUGGACAAACUGCACUUGGUUCCUUCUCAAUCCCAUGUAAAAAACGAUUCUGAAGCAGGAGGGAAGGAGUGCAAGUAGUGGAGCAUCCAUGUGAACAUAAAUCUUGAAGAACUCCAGGUGUACAGAACUCCAGUGAACAAAGGGUAGCUCUUGAUUCUUCAGAGAGUGUAAGGACUCAUCUAUGGACUUGCUGAGCCCACCAAAAGGAAAGCCUUCCACUAUAUUACUCCCUUGAGAUUCCGGACAACUGCAGCCAUGAGGGUCACCACAAGACAACAGCUGUGGAGAUGGAGUGAGCUGCUAUAUCAGCUACUUUGAGGGAAACUUGUAAAGAAGUUAUUGCUAGGAGCUGGUCUUCAGUGAAGAUGGCCUUAAACUAUUCUCUGAGGGGGAUGUUCAAUAAAGGAGUUAAACUUGC